CAGUCGCCGCGGUAAUACGAAGGGUGCAAGCGUUACUCGGAACUACUGGGCGUAAAGCGUGCGUAGGCGGUUUGUUAAGUCUGUCGUGAAAGCCCUGGGCUCAACCUGGGAAUUGCGAUGGAUACUGGCAAGCUAGAGUACGGUAGAGGAUGGUGGAAUUCCCGGUGUAGCGGUGAAAUGCGUAGAGAUCGGGAGGAACACCUGUGGCGAAGGCGGCCAUCUGGACCAGUACUGACGCUGAGGCACGAAAGCGUGGGGAGCAAACAGGAUUAGAUACCCGAGUAGUCCCUGUCUCUUAUAA
rnacentral:rRNA from 1 species